rnacentral:rRNA from 1 species
AGUGAACGCUGGCGGUAGGUCUAACACAUGCAAGUCGAACGGCAGCACAGUAAGAGCUUGCUCUUACGGGUGGCGAGUGGCGGACGGGUGAGGAAUACAUCGGAAUCUACUUUUUCGUGGGGGAUAACGCAGGGAAACUUACGCUAAUACCGCAUACGACCUACGGGUGAAAGCAGGGGAUCUUCGGACCUUGCGCGAUUGAAUGAGCCGAUGUCGGAUUAGCUAGUUGGCGGGGUAAAGGCCCACCAAGGCGACGAUCCGUAGCUGGUCUGAGAGGAUGAUCAGCCACACUGGAGCUGAGACACGGUCCAGACUCCUACGGGAGGCAGCAGUGGGGAAUAUUGGACAAUGGGCGCAAGCCUGAUCCAGCCAUACCGCGUGGGUGAAGAAGGCCUUCGGGUUGUAAAGCCCUUUUGUUGGGAAAGAAAAGCAGCAGGUUAAUACCCCGCUGUUCUGACGUUACCCAAAGAAUAAGCACCGGCUAACUUCGUG